rnacentral:rRNA from 1 species
CCUACGGGAGGCAGCAGUGAGGAAUAUUGGUCAAUGGACGAGAGUCUGAACCAGCCAAGUAGCGUGAAGGAUGACUGCCCUAUGGGUUGUAAACUUCUUUUAUAUGGGAAUAAAACGUUCAACGUGUGGGAUUUUGUAUGUACCAUAAGAAUAAGGAUCGGCUAACUCCGUGCCAGCAGCCGCGGUAAUACGGAGGAUCCGAGCGUUAUCCGGAUUUAUUGGGUUUAAAGGGAGCGUAGGUGGAUUGUUAAGUCAGUUGUGAAAGUUUGCGGCUCAACCGUAAAAUUGCAGUUGAAACUGGCAGUCUUGAGUACAGUAGAGGUGGGCGGAAUUCGUGGUGUAGCGGUGAAAUGCUUAGAUAUCACGAAGAACUCCGAUUGCGAAGGCAGUUCACUGGACUGCAACUGACACUGAGGCUCGAAAGUGUGGGUAUCAAACAGGAUUAGAUACCCGGGUAGUC